CCCUACGGGAGGCUGCAGUGGGGAAUCUUAGACAAUGGGGGCAACCCUGAUCUAGCCAUGCCGCGUGAGUGAUGAAGGCCUUAGGGUUGUAAAGCUCUUUCAGCUGGGAAGAUAAUGACGGUACCAGCAGAAGAAGCCCCGGCUAACUCCGUGCCAGCAGCCGCGGUAAUACGGCGGGGGCUAGCGUUGUUCGGAAUUACUGGGCGUAAAGCGCAUGUAGGCGGACUGGAAAGUUGGGGGUGAAAUCCCGGGGCUCAACCUGGGAACUGCCUUCAAAACUAUCAGUGUGAAGUUCGGGAGAGGUGAGUGGAAUUCGGGGUGUAGAGGUGAAAUUCGUAGAUAUUCGGAGGAACACCAGUGGCGAAGGCGGCUCACUGGCUCGAUACUGACGCUGAGAUGCGAAAGCGUGGGGAGCAAACAGGAUUAGAUACCCCGGUAGUC
rnacentral:rRNA from 1 species